rnacentral:rRNA from 1 species
AGUGAACGCUGGCGGUAGGCCUAACACAUGCAAGUCGAACGACAGCACAGUAAGAGCUUGCUCUUACGGGUGGCGAGUGGCGGACGGGUAAGGAAUACAUCGCAAUCUACUUUUUCGUGGGGGCUAACGGAGGGCAGCUUACACUACUACCGCAUACGUCCUACGGGUGGAAGCAGGGGGUCAUCCGACCUUGCGGGAACGAAUGAGCCGAUGUCGGUUUCGCUAGUUGGCGGGGUAAAGGCCCGCCAAGGCAACGAACCGUAGCUGGUCUGCGAGGAUGGUCAGCCACACGGGACUUGAGACCCGGCCCAGACCCCUACGGGAGGCAGAGGUGGGAAAUAUCGGCCAAUGGGCGCAAGCCUGCUCCAGCCAGACGGCGGGGGUGAAGAAGGCCUCCGGGUUGUAAAGUCCUUUUGUUGGGAAAGAAAAGCAUCUGGGUAACUCCGCGCUGUUCUGACGGUACCCAUAGAAUAGGCACCGGCAAAUUCCUU